AGAGAUCUGGGAGGCAUCGGCCUUACACAGCCUCUGACAAACAGCUAGGCUUUGAUGAAGAACAGGCCUCAUAGGAUAGAUAAGAAACUGCUGAGUUGUGCCAAGGUGGCAGGGAAAAAUCAAUCAGGACAGCAGGCAAUUUGCCUGGGCUUAGCAACUGCUGCCGACCCAUCUCACCUGUUUGAUUGGACAUUUGAACUAGUCAUUA